GGGUCAGUAGGUUGGUCGUGCCACCGGUACGUACUGGUCUCACUGAUUCCUCCUUCCUGAAGAACCGUAAUGCCAUUAAUUUGGUGUUGCGGGGAAACAGGACUGUUACUUUGAAAAAAUUAGAGUGUUUAAAGCAAGCUAACGCUUGAAUACAUUAGCAUGGAAUAAUGAAAUAGGACGAUCGAUCCUAUUUUGUUGGUUUCUAGGAUUGACGUAAUGAUUAAUAGGGAUUUGGG
rnacentral:rRNA from 1 species